GCAUUUUUCAUCAUACCCCCCAUUUUAUCCUCAAAAAACGCUGAUAUGGCAAAGAAAUACCUAUGUGGCAGUGCCAACCGGGAAAAUGACAUUAACAUGUCAUUAAAACAUCAGUUUUUAAUUUAAAAAAACCAACUUAAACAUUUCAAAAAUAAAAAUAAAAAAAUUGAAAAAAAAAAGGAAAUAAAAUUGAAAGAAAGAUAAAAUUCAAGUGCUUCUUCAAGGUUUUCCAUCUUCUUCUAUUACAUGGUGCUUCUUCAUCUUCUACAUACUCCUCCAUGUUUUUCUUCUUCCAUUCAAACCCAAACUCAUGAAUCUUCAUCAUCUUCAACUCAAACUCAUAAAAACCCCAAAAAACUAGAAAAACAAAUUCAACAAUACAUAUUCUCAAAUCUUCAUCUCUUUAUUCUAAAUCAAACAAAUCUCAACCCACAAUUAAUUCCUCUAUAUCUAUAAAAAAAACUAUAUAUAAACUUCAAAACAAAACCAUAACCAAUAAUCUGAUGUUGUUUCAACCAUUUUUCUCUCCCUUAUUUUCAUCGAUGUUGUUUCAAACUUUCUCAUUCCCACACAAAUCUUCAUAUCCAAAACAAAACCCAUAACCCAAAAUAACUAAUUUUAAACAAAAAAUGGAAAAGAGUGAGUUCAAGGAUUAUAGGUUUUUCAGAUCUGAAAUUGGGAGAGAAAAAAAUCGAAUUCCAACAAGUAUUCAUUUUCAAAUCUGCAGUUAACCUGAAACAGAAAUGAAAUUGAAUUGAUUUCGAAUUUGAAUGGAAGAAAAUUUUUUUUAAGAAGAUUAGAAGAAGAAGAAGAAGAAGAAGAAGAAGAUGAAGCUAGAGACGAGUAUAAGCCAAAGAAGAGGAAGAUGAUAAUGUUGGUGGAGGAAAGCAGGAGAGAAGAGACAAGGAGUUUUGAAUUGUGAUUGUUGAAUGGGGGAGAUAUGAGUUUGAAGUGGAGAAGACAUGGACACUGAUGAAGAAAUGAUAAACAUUAGUUUUUUUUUUUCUUUCUCUCAAACCCAGAUCAAUGUAAAACAAAUUCUGGAAAUUAUUGCAAUUUUUAAUUUGUUGUUAUUUUUGAAAAUGUUAAAAUGUUUUUCAUAAUUGAGAAAUGCUAGGGACACACUCCCUAACACACUCUUUUAACACACUCCAAUUAAAAUUUGCCACAUCACCCACUCUUUAUAUUUCUUUAACCUGGAACCGGUUGUCCAGGUGAACUCACUGUGUUAUUUUGUUUUAAUUUUUUUCACCGUCUUUCUCACAAUGAAAUUGGAGAUCGCAACAUUGCCAACAAAAAGAUGAGCCAAAUCAAACACAGAAAACAAAUCAGAGAAGAAAAGAAAGGAAACAGAUCUG
rnacentral:lncRNA from 1 species